CUGGGAGGGAAAAUCUGCUCCAGGCACUUCUCGGCUUCAGGCGGCUGCCACCAGUCCUUGGUGUCCCUUGACACAUGGCUAUAUCACCCUGAUCUCUGCCAUCACAGUCAUACGGCUGAGCUGAGCAGCCUUCCUUCACCAUGGUCUUCCUCCAUGGUGCUCUGCCUCACCUCAAGCCCAAAGCAAUGGUGUCAGCCGACCAUGGGAUGAAACCUCUGACAACUGUGAGCCAGAAUAAAUCAUUCGUCUUUUAAGUUGUUAACGUCACGUGUUUUAGUCACAGCAAUGGAAGGCUAUCAUAGUUUGUGUCAACAGUAUGAUGGAUGGUGGAGUCUUGGCUGUGGCGUAUCAAUUUGACCCCUGGCAGGUCUAAAGACUAAAUAACGGUCAGCCACAUGGGCACUCCAUGUCUACAUGACUGAGCACCCAAGAUUCCCGGACACCAAGACUGAGGGGAACUUUGUUUUAACUUUGUUAAACCUUUUAUGUGUUGUCAGAGAGUGUGGGAGGCCGUCCUCACACUGAUUUGAGUUCCCUCCCUGGCUGGGUGACAGUGCUUAGACACAGCUGUGUCAGAACCUUCCCCACCCUUUCCCAGGCCAGAGGGUUUGUCUGCAGAGGCGUGCCUGGCCACUGCCCCGAAGACCCAAUCGUCGCCUCUGACCUUGGGAUGCUGCCCCCCCCUUUAACUUUCAUUGGAUGGGACUUUCUUUGGAAUUUUUUGUUCCCCAAUAAAAGCUCACUCCCUGGUGUGUU